UACGUAGGUGACCAGCGUUGUCCGGAUUUACUGGGCGUAAAGAGCGCGCAGGCGGUCGUUCAAGUCGAGUGUGAAAGCCCCAGCUCAACUGGGGAGGGUCAUUCGAUACUGAUCGACUUGAAGGCAGGAGAGGGAAGUGGAAUUCCCGGUGUAGUGGUGAAAUGCGUAGAUAUCGGGAGGAACACCAGUGGCGAAGGCGACUUCCUGGCCUGUUCUUGACGCUGAGGCGCGAAAGCUAGGGAGCAAACGGGAUUAGAAACCCGG
rnacentral:rRNA from 1 species